UGGGGAAUAUUGGACAAUGGGCGAAAGCCUGAUCCAGCCAUGCCGCGUGUGUGAAGAAGGCCUUUUGGUUGUAAAGCACUUUAAGCGAGGAGGAGGCUACUUGGAUUAAUACUCUAGGAUAGUGGACGUUACUCGCAGAAUAAGCACCGGCUAACUCUGUGCCAGCAGCCGCGGUAAUACAGAGGGUGCGAGCGUUAAUCGGAUUUACUGGGCGUAAAGCGUGCGUAGGCGGCUUCUUAAGUCGGAUGUGAAAUCCCUGAGCUUAACUUAGGAAUUGCAUUCGAUACUGGGAAGCUAGAGUAUGGGAGAGGAUGGUAGAAUUCCAGGUGUAGCGGUGAAAUGCGUAGAGAUCUGGAGGAAUACCGAUGGCGAAGGCAGCCAUCUGGCCUAAUACUGACGCUGAGGUACAAAAGCAUGGGGAGCAAACAGG
rnacentral:rRNA from 1 species